AAUUUUGGACAAUGGGGGAAACCCUGAUCAAGCCAUCCCGCGCGUAUGAUGGAUGCCUUCGGGUUGUAAAGUACUUUUGGCAGAGAAGAAAAGGUAUCUCCUAAUACGAGAUACUGCUGACGGUAUGUGCAUAAUACGCACCGGCGAACUACGUGCCAGCAGCCGCGGUAAUACGUAGGUGCCAGCGUUAAGCGGAAUUACUGGGCGUAAAGCGUGUGUAGGCGGUUCGGAAAUAAAGAUGUGAAAUCCCAGGGCUCAACCUUGGAACUGCAUUUUUAACUGCCGAGCUAGAGUAUGUCAGAGGGGGGUAGAAUUCCACGUGUAGCAGUGAAAUGCGUAGAUAUGUGGAGGAAUACCGAUGGCGAAGGCAGCCCCCUGGGAUAAUACUGACGCUCAGACACGAAAGCGUGGGGAGCAAACAGG
rnacentral:rRNA from 1 species